ensembl:snoRNA
CCUCGAUGAUGAGUUGCCACGCUACUAACUGAGCUACCAGCUGGGGCACUGUUGCCCUGCUUUGGUGCCAGGGAGUUUAACAACAACAACAAAAUACUAGCAGC